AGAGUUUGAUCCUGGCUCAGGAUGAACGCUGGCGGUAUGCUUAACACAUGCAAGUCGAACGGAAUCUUCGGAUUCAGUGGCGGACGGGUGAGUAACGCGUGAGAAUCUGGCUCUAGGUCUGGGACAACAGUUGGAAACGACUGCUAAUACCGGAUGUGCAGAGAUGUGAAAGGCUUGCUGCCUAGAGAUGAGCUCGCGUCUGAUUAGCUAGUAGGUAGUGUAAGAGACUACCUAGGCGACGAUCAGUAGCUGGUCUUGGAGGACUAUCAGCCACAGCGGGACGGUUACAUCCCGAACUUUUUGGCAGCAGUGAGGAAUAUUGGACAAUGGGCGCAAGCUUGAUCCAGCAAUGCCGCGUGGGUGAGGAAGGCUUAGAUUGUAAAAUCCUUUCGUCGAAGAUGAUAAUGACAGUAUUCGAAAAAGAAGCCCCGGCUAACUUCGUGCCAGCAGCCGCGGUAAAACGGAGGGGGCUAGUGUUACUCAACUUGACUGGGCGUAAAGGGCGUGAAGGUGGUAUGGUACGUUUUAUUGUAAAUACUCAAACAUAAUUUGAGGAGCUUUAAAAUACGGCUAUGCUUGAGUUUAUUUGAAGAAAGUUGUACUUCUAGUGUAGAGGUGAAAUUUGCAAAAAUUAGAAGGACAGUCCACGGGCGAAAGCGACUUUCUACUAUAAACUGACACUAUAGCGCGAAAGCAUAGGUAGCAAACGGGAUUAGAGACCCCGGUAGUCUAUGCAGUGACCGAUGAAUACUAAAUGCUCUUAUCCGUAAGAGAGUAUUUAAGCUAACGCGUAAGUAUUCCGCCUGGGAACUACAACCGCAAGGUUCAAACUCAAAGGAAUUGACG
rnacentral:rRNA from 1 species